rnacentral:lncRNA from 1 species
AAGUUCUGUUGUACCUAAACGAUAUGUAAAUACCUGAAUUAGGCACAAUAUUUACACAAGUUAUCGCUUGUAGUUGAUAAGGACAUCAAUAAGUCCGCGUGAUGGGUUAGAUAAGGCUGUGCCUAUAAAUUCAUCGAUCGAUCUCAUAAGUACAGAAUAAACGUUUUUGCUUUGCGCAGAGCAAAUUGAAUAUUUAGUGAAUUUUGGAAAUAUACAUAUAAAAAUGCCACCACCACCACCGCAUCCAGACCAGCCACCGCACCACCCAGGCGGUCAUCCACCGGGGCACGAUCCUCAUCAUCCACCACACCAUCCACCACAUCAUCCACCCCACCAUCCACCGCAUCAUCCGCCACCACACCACCACCUCGGUAUUAAAUAUGGGGGGUGUGUGUGAUGAGCUAAUGUACAGACAAUGUUUUUUAAAGCAGUAUUAAUUUAUAAAGCUUAUGUAAUUUAAUAAAUAUGUAUGUUUUCUAA